UUCCAUGUAGAUAAGCAGCAUUUGUUGUACCCUGUGAAUGGGGCUAUUUAUUGAAAUGAACCUUAAAGGUGUAAUGAAGAUAUUUAUAGCCAUUAUACCCAAGCUUAAGUUAUUGCUGGCAUCCGCUUUCACUUGUGAGAAAUGCAUCACUUUCUGGGUGCUGAAUAAAGUCAGUAUGUUCUAGUAUAUUUUUAGUAUUUUCUCUAGUACUUUUGAUGUGUAAUGUUUUAGUAUAGUAUUCUACAAUAGAUUAUGUAGCCAGUAUAUUCUAGUACAUGUAUAUUCUUGUGUAUCAUUGGUGGUUUGGUCUCUUUAUUGACUUGUUCCCUUUUUCAGGUUUAGAUUGAUGACUCUCAUUAUCAUUGUUGUCCAUUGGCCUAAUGGGUACUGCUAUCGCAGUGACUGUAUUGGACUGACCAACUUGUCUUUAAUUAUUCUGGAAGAGAGACAAUUAAGUCAUUUUAGGGAUGGCAAGCCAAGAGCAUGUGGCAUAAAAGGGUCAAGAAACAAUUAACUUUGUAUAAAGAAACAGGAUGAUACAAAGAGCUAUCACGAAAGUCCCAGCUGUUGUACAUAUCCAGAAAAAUUUGGAGGGAUCCAUGAAUACUGCUGGUACUGCACUUACAUGUAUGCUCAAAUGUUUGCCAGGUCAGCUUAUAC